rnacentral:rRNA from 1 species
AACGAACGCUGGCGGCAGGCCUAACACAUGCAAGUCGAGCGAGAUCUUCGGAUCUAGCGGCGGACGGGUGAGUAACGCGUGGGAACGUACCCUCUUCUGCGGGAUAGCCACUGGAAACGGUGAGUAAUACCGCAUACGCCCUUCGGGGGAAAGAUUUAUCGGAGGAGGAUCGGCCCGCGUUGGAUUAGGUAGUUGGUGGGGUAAUGGCCUACCAAGCCUACGAUCCAUAGCUGGUUUUAGAGGAUGAUCAGCCACACUGGGACUGAGACACGGCCCAGACUCCUACGGGAGGCAGCAGUGGGGAAUCUUAGACAAUGGGCGCAAGCCUGAUCUAGCCAUGCCGCGUGAGUGACGAAGGCCUUAGGGUCGUAAAGCUCUUUCGCCUGUGAUGAUAAUGACAGUAGCA